AGAGGAGCUAAAUUCUUUCCAAAACAUGCCCAAUUUCAGAAGAGAACUACCUGGAAGAGAGAUCAUGGGUCUGUUUCAAGGUUGUUUCAGGCAACUAGCUUUGUGUCAGAGGGGCCCUUUGGAGCAUAAUCAUUGUGUAUUCUCACACUCUAAACGGAACUGGAGCUGCUCCUUUGUUACCAACCAUGUCAUGAAAACACUCAAGCAGCCCUAUGAAAACAUUCAAAUGGGGAGGACCCU
rnacentral:lncRNA from 1 species